rnacentral:rRNA from 1 species
UACGAAGGGUGCAAGCGUUACUCGGAAUUACUGGGCGUAAAGCGCACGUAGGUGGUUUGUUAAGCCAGCUGUGAAAUCCCCGGGCUCAACCUGGGCACUGCAGUUGGAACUGGCAAGCUAGAGUAGGGUAGAGGGGUGUGGAAUUCCAGGUGUAGCGGUGAAAUGCGUAGAUAUCUGGAGGAACAUCAGUGGCGAAGGCGACACCCUGGACUCAUACUGACACUGAGGUGCGAAAGCGUGGGGAGCAAACAGG